UACGUAGGGUGCAAGCGUUAAUCGGAAUUACUGGGCGUAAAGGGUGCGCAGGCGGUUCUGUAAGUCAGAUGUGAAAUCCCCGGGCUUAACCUGGGAAUUGCGUUUGAAACUGGCGAGCUUGAGUGUGGCAGAGGGGGGUGGAAUUCCGCGUGUAGCAGUGAAAUGCGUAGAGAUGCGGAGGAACACCGAUGGCGAAGGCAGCCCCCUGGGCUAACACUGACGCUCAGGCACGAAAGCGUGGGGAGCAAACAGG
rnacentral:rRNA from 1 species